GAGAGCAUCCUAGUGUCCUAUUCCCUCUUGCUUCUGGGACAUGUCUGGGACAUCGGCAAGUCCUGUGCAUCAUGUCCCUGAUAGAUGAAAUUGUGCUUUGUUUUUUUUUCUUAAAGAGUUUUGACCAGUUUUCUUUAUUUUUCCAGAUCACUAUUAUCGUUGUUGUAUUCCAGGUCUCCAUAAAAUAUUUUUCAGAAAUUCAAGAUUCUGGGAGUUGAAGAUAUGCUGAAAAUGAGUUUGCAGUUUGAGAACUUAAAUUGUGAUAGGCACCUGUGCUUGAUCGACAAGCUCUCAAUUAAGAUAUUCCUGGUGCCGAUAAGCUUUGAGCACUUCUGGAUUUUCUGACACUAACUGGCUUCUAACUUUCCAGGUAAAGUUACAGAGAGGCAGAGAGAGAGAGGUCUUCCAUCUGAUGGUUCACUUCCCAAUGACUGCAAUGGCCAGAGCUGUGUUGAUCCGAAGCCAGGAGCCAGAAGCUUCUUCCGGGUCUCCCACACAGGUGCAGGGGCCCAAACACUUGGGCCAUCUUCUACUGCUUUCCCAGGCCAUAACAGAGAGCUGGAUCAGAAGCGGAGCAUCCAGGACUCAAACCGGCGCCCAUAUGGGAUGCCAGCACUGCAGGCAGUAGCUUUACCUGCUGCGCUACAGCACUGGUCCCCAACCUCUACAUCUUAGCUUUCUUGGCUUAACAGUGGGUUUAUUAUUUCCAUCCUCUUUGCCAUUACAGAACAUAGCCAUGGCACCUUUUAAUGUAGAAAAAUAUUUUGUAAUUCUAAUAUAGUUUCUGUUAAGCUGGUGUUCAUUUACAAUAUCACAAGUGUGACCUCAUCCAUAUAU